ACUUCUAACUAUUACAUAAAAACAGACUUUACUCUUGCUGACCUCCUGGUCUACCCUGUACCUGCAAACCUGGGGGAUAAGGGGAAAGGGGUGAGCUACAAGAGCCCAGUGAGCAGAAUAAUAAUAACAAUUUAAAACACAUGCUAUCAUGUAAUGCAUCACAUCACAAUCAUAUCACAUCAAGGAUGGACUUGUCACCAAG
rnacentral:lncRNA from 1 species